AGGGGAGAGAUUUAGACACAGAUACAUUGACAGGAAGAGUGCCCUGCGAAGAUGAGGACAGAGAUCAGUGUGAUGCAGCAGAAGCCAAGGAAGGCAAAGAUUGCCACCAAGCCACCUGGAGCUAGGAGAGGCCUGGAGCAGACACUUCCUGACUGCCCUAGCAAACACAGUGGAGGGCCCGCAGCUCUAUUCCGCCCUGUGGCCCAUUAUGCCUGCCAGCCUCCACCCCUUGUCUGUUUGUAUUUAUUGGUUGCCUCCUCUCACCGAAUGUCAGUGCCACCAGGAAGUGACUGUCAGUUUGUUUUCUGCUGCAUCUCCAGUGUCCAGAACAGUACCUGGCAUGUUCUACUGCAAUUCUGAGGCAUGGAAAAACCACCUCCCCAAACUUCUGAGAGUCACUGGGGGUUGGAGACUGAGCCCGGGGAAAGGGUGGUGAGGUGCCAUCUGCAUCUCUCCUAGGCUCAGUCACUCAGCCAUCUUCAGAAGUCAAGGUCACAAUCUCCCAGGCAGAGUCACCAGAAAGAGGAACAGAUGAGGGCGGUGGAACCCGGAACAGCUUGCCCUCCCCCUCCCCUGAAGGCACAAGAGGAUGGCAGACUUCUGGAUCAAGGAACUGGGCACUGGAGGGUGAGGGAUGCGGCGUGCAGACGGAGGAGGGAAAGGUAUUAUAAGUGGAUCAAAAAGAAGCCACAGGGCCUCUGGCUGGCCCAGUCAGUAGAGCAUGCGACUCUUGAUUUCGGGGUUGUGAGUUUGAGCCCCACGAUGGGUGGAGAGAUUACUUAAAAAAAAAAAAAAGAUGCCAGAGUAACUCCUUCCCUUCUCAAAUCCAUACCCCUUGCAGUGUGACUUUGCAACUCCUCCCAUCAAAGGUGAGUGUGUUUUCUCACCCAUGGCACAUAGCUGGAGUUUAAAAAUCUCAUCUAGGGGCACUUGGGUGGCUCAGUUAAACAUCUGACUCUUGAUUUUGGCUCAGGUCAUGAUCUCACGGUUUGUGGGAUUGAGCCCUGCGUCAGGCUCCAUGCUGACAAUGCAGAGCCUGCUUGGGAUUCUCUCUCUCCUCUCUCUCUGCCCUUCCCAUGCAUGCACUCUCUGUCUCAAAAUAAAUU